rnacentral:lncRNA from 1 species
AUAAUCGGAAUGUAUCAGUUCUUUAAGAAAUUAAAUCAAUUUCAUACACACAGCGGAAUUAAAUUGCGGCAUACAAGAUUAGCAAUUGCAAUUAGAUGGAUAAGAGAUUAACCAAGAUGCAUGCAAGUCAAAUUACCAGAUUAAACAAUAUUACCUAUCACAGAAUAUGUUUAACAUGCAUCUAAUAUUAAUCACAUAUACAGAUAUUGCAAGAUAGAAAAUUAAAGGAGUUAAGGGUUAGAGAAGAUUGCACCAAGAAUUUAU